rnacentral:rRNA from 1 species
UACGUAGGUGGCGAGCGUUGUCCGGAUUUACUGGGCGUAAAGCGAGCGCAGGUGGUUUAUUAAGUCUGGUGUAAAAGGCAGUGGCUCAACCAUUGUAUGCAUUGGAAACUGGUAGACUUGAGUGCAGGAGAGGAGAGUGGAAUUCCAUGUGUAGCGGUGAAAUGCGUAGAUAUAUGGAGGAACACCGGUGGCGAAAGCGGCUCUCUGGCCUGUAACUGACGUUGAGGCUCGAAAGCGUGGGGAGCAAACAGG